UACAGAGGGGGCAAGCGUUGUUCGGAUUUACUGGGCGUAAAGGGCGCGUAGGCGGCCAGCACAAGUCAGUUGUGAAAUCUCCGAGCUUAACUCGGAAAGGUCAACUGAUACUGUGCGGCUAGAGCGCGGAAGGGGCAACUGGAAUUCUUGGUGUAGCGGUGAAAUGCGUAGAUAUCAAGAGGAACACCUGCGGCGAAGGCGGGUUGCUGGGCCGACACUGACGCUGAUGCGCGAAAGCUAGGGGAGCGAACGGG
rnacentral:rRNA from 1 species